AAGGUUGGCUCUGCCACCGGAAGCAAGCUUCAUCUAUAGGUUGGCUCUGCCACCCGGGAGUUAGAAGGUUGGCCCUGCAGCCAAAAAGGACCAAAAGGCACUAAGUAAUUAGAAAUUAUAAAGCUGUCCACUACAGAGUGAGUGGGUGUUCCUAGGUAUAGGUCCACCUUCAAGUGGGUGAUUAAGGCCACCUCCGUUUACAACACACAGCGUGCGGACAGUGCACCCACUCGUGAAGGCCCUCAAUGCGGUCAAUCUGCAA
rnacentral:lncRNA from 1 species